UGAGUCGGCCAGGUGAUCGCAGGCUGCCGGUGCCCGGCAGCGUGAGGAAAGUCCGGACUCCACAGGGUACGACGCCGGGUAACACCCGGGCGGGGCGACCCGCGGACAGGGCCACAGAGACAUACCGCCGACGUCCCGCAAGGGGCGGGCAAGGGUGAAAAGGUGGUGUAAGAGACCACCGGCGCGGCGGGCAACCGCUGCGGCCAGGUAACCCCCGUCGGGAGCAAGGCCAAGCAGAGGGGAAGGCCGGCCUCAGGGUCGGUCGGGAGGCGACCCGUCUCCUCCCUAAUGGGCAACCUUCGGGUAGGCUGCUGGAGGUGAUGGGUAACCAUCAUCCUGGAGAGAUGAUCACCGCCGCGGUGCGAAGGCGCUGCGGUACAGAAUCCGGCUUAUCGGCCGACUCGAGCC
rnacentral:RNase_P_RNA from 1 species